rnacentral:rRNA from 25 species
UUGACCUCGGAUCAGGUAGGAA